rnacentral:rRNA from 1 species
AGUGAACGCUGGCGGUAGGCCUAACACAUGCAAGUCGAACGGCAGCACAGUAAGAGCUUGCUCUUACGGGUGGCGAGUGGCGGACGGGUGAGGAAUACAUCGGAAUCUACUUUUUCGUGGGGGAUAACGUAGGGAAACUUACGCUAAUACCGCAUACGACCUACGGGUGAAAGCAGGGGAUCUUCGGACCUUGCGCGAUUGAAUGAGCCGAUGUCGGAUUAGCUAGUUGGCGGGGUAAAGGCCCACCAAGGCGACGAUCCGUAGCUGGUCUGAGAGGAUGAUCAGCCACACUGGAACUGAGACACGGUCCAGACUCCUACGGGAGGCAGCAGUGGGGAAUAUUGGACAAUGGGCGCAAGCCUGAUCCAGCCAUACCGCGUGGGUGAAGAAGGCCUUCGGGUUGUAAAGCCCUUUUGUUGGGAAAGAAAAGCAGCAGGUUAAUACCCCGCUGUUCUGACGGUACCCAGAGAAUAAGCACCGGCUAACUUCGU